rnacentral:rRNA from 1 species
UACCUGCAGCUCGAGUGGUAACCGCUAUUAUUGGGCCUAAAGCGUCCGCAGCCGGUUUGGUAAAUAUCUGGGUAAAUCGUGAGGCUUAACUUCACGAAUUUCGGAUAGACUGCCAGACUUGGGAUCGGGGGAGGUCAGAGGUACUCCAGGGGUAGCGGUGAAAUGUUGUAAUCCUUGGAGGACCACCGGUAGCGAAGGCGUCUGACUGGAACGAGUCCGACGGUGAGGGACGAAGCCCUGGGGCGCAAACCGGAUUAGAUACCCGGGUAGUCCAGGGUGUAAACAAUGUGGGCUUUGUAUUGGAGGUCCCACGUGGGCGUCCAGUGCAGAAGAGAAGUUGUUAAGCCCACCGCCUGGGAAGUACGGUCGCAAGGCUGAAACUUAAAGGAAUUGGCGGGGGAGCACCACAAGGGGUGAAGCUUGCGGUUU